rnacentral:rRNA from 1 species
UAGUGAGUUUGAUCCUGGCUCAGGAUGAACGCUAGCGGCAGGCCUAAUACAUGCAAGUCGAACGCGGGGUAGCAAUACCUCGAGUGGCGCACGGGUGCGUAACGCGUAACCAACCUACCUACAACUGGGGGAUAGCCCGCCGAAAGGCGGAUUAAUACCGCAUAAACUCACAGUAUGGCAUCAUACAAUGAGUAAAGAUUUAUUGGUCAAGGAGGGGCUUGCGGCCUAUCAGCUAGUUGGUGGGGUAAUGGCCUACCAAGGCGACGAUCCAUAGCUGGUCUGAGAGGAUGAUCAGCCACACUGGGGACUGAGACACGGCCCAGACUCUACGGGAGCAGCAGUGGGGUAAUAUUGGACAAUGGGGCGCAAGCCUGAUCCCAGCCAUGCCGCGUGAGUGAUCGAAGGUCCCU